UCCCGUGUGGCUCAGUUGGUAGAGCAUGGUGCUUGCAACACCACAGAUCGUGGGUUCAAUUCCCACUGAGGGUC
rnacentral:tRNA from 1 species